UAGCGGCGGACGGGUGAGUAACACGUGGGUAACCUGCCCAUAAGACUGGGAUAACUCCGGGAAACCGGGGCUAAUACCGGAUAACAUUUUUGAACUGCAUGGUUCGAAAUUUGAAAGGCGGCUUCGGCUGUCACUUAUGGAUGGACCCGCGUCGCAUUAGCUAGUUGGUGAGGUAACGGCUCACCAAGGCAACGAUGCGUAGCCGACCUGAGAGGGUGAUCGGCCACACUGGGACUGAGACACGGCCCAGACUCCUACGGGAGGCAGCAGUAGGGAAUCUUCCGCAAUGGACGAAAGUCUGACGGAGCAACGCCGCGUGAGUGAUGAAGGCUUUCGGGUCGUAAAACUCUGUUGUUAGGGAAGAACAAGUGCUAGUUGAAUAAGCUGGCACCUUGACGGUACCUAACCAGAAAGCCACGGCUAACUACGUGCCAGCAGCCGCGGUAAUACGUAGGUGGCAAGCGUUAUCCGGAAUUAUUGGGCGUAAAGCGCGCGCAGGUGGUUUCUUAAGUCUGAUGUGAAAGCCCACGGCUCAACCGUGGAGGGUCAUUGGAAA
rnacentral:rRNA from 1 species